CACCAGUAGCAACUGUGUCCGGCUAGCCAGCUAGCUGUUCUUAAUACAGAAAUUAUGGCUGAGCCCAAGAAACCCGAAGAAAACGUAGCCGGGGAAGCAAGGAAGAGAAAAAGAGAGAGUGAAUGAGCAAGAAGCCAGACAGGAGUAAAUGUUAGAGGCUGAGCUCACAUCCCUGCUGUUGGACUGGACAUGGGCUCGACAAGUUUUCGAUGUUGUCUUCGUCCAGGUUGCUUGGCGGUCUUCCCAUGGCUCCAUCUCGUUCUUGAGGUGCUUUGACUUAUCCUGGUGUUGGCCAAGUGUCUCCCCCAAGUUUUCAGUGGGGUUCAAGUUGGGACUUGGCAUGGGCCACUGAAGAACCCUGAACCCCUGCUUGUCCAUCCACUCCUUGUGCUACACUAACAAGUCCAAGAGCUGGAGUGUGAACAGCUGGAAGGAGACAAAGGACUGCAGCUCCAUCCCAGAGCUGCACAAGGCCACCUACAAGGCUGAUGUGGCUGAAAUGAAAGAGUAUAAUCUUAUGAAACCGUUACAGUUAUAUAUUAUGUAAUCACAAGUCAACCUGCCCACAUUUUGAUGUUUGACUUUGGAAAUCCUUUUGCAUAUUCUGACCAAAUUAUACAUGUCUAGUUGGAUUUGCGUGUCAGUAAUGUACAUGUACAAAUAAAAACAUGACUCUAGAUUUCUCCUCA